UCCCUGGUGGUCCAGUGGCUAAGACGCCAUGCUCCCAAUGUAGGAGGCCCGGGUUCAAUGCCUGGUCAGGGAA
rfam:TPA: Bos taurus chromosome X, whole genome shotgun sequence.